rnacentral:tRNA from 1 species
CACUGUGCAGCUAUUCCAGCAUUAACCUUUUAAGUUAAAGAUUGAGGGCACGCCCUCUGCAGUGAA